AACUAUUUAGUUCCACAUUUAUCGCACAUAAAGGCUUGUACUGACUUCAUAGCCGUGGAAUUUCGCCCGCAACAUGCAUUUGGCAUGCCGUGAAACGUUGCUGGCAACAUUAAUUGUCAAAUGAGAAGAAACGUCAAAAUGAAAAUUGAACAAAUGUAAACAAACAAAUUUAUGAGCAUCGCCCGCAAGCAAUUAGAAAAUUUUGCUUUAACUACAUUUAGCAGCAUUUGGGGAGUUUUGCGAGCUUCCGGCACAACCACUAGCAUCCAGAAGAGUAGGUGCAUUACCCCAGAAGCAAUUACGAAAUUUUGGUUUAACUACAUUUAGCAGCAUUUGGGGAGUUUUGCGAGCUUCUGGCACAACCACUAGCAUCCAUUGCCGGUAAAAAUAAAUGUAUGAAGAAAAAAAAUAUU